CGAACUCUGGUAUUGAUUGGUGCUUGCAUCAUGAUUUACAUUUGAGUGAGUGGCGAACUGGUGAGUAACACGUGGGAAACCUGCCCAGAAGCGGGGGAUAACACCUGGAAACAGAUGCUAAUACCGCAUAACAACUUGGACCGCAUGGUCCGAGYUUGAAAGAUGGCUUCGGCUAUCACUUUUGGAUGGUCCCGCGGCGUAUUAGCUAGAUGGUGGGGUAACGGCUCACCAUGGCAAUGAUACGUAGCCGACCUGAGAGGGUAAUCGGCCACAUUGGGACUGAGACACGGCCCAAACUCCUACGGGAGGCAGCAGUAGGGAAUCUUCCACAAUGGACGAAAGUCUGAUGGAGCAACGCCGCGUGAGUGAAGAAGGGUUUCGGCUCGUAAAACUCUGUUGUUAAAGAAGAACAUAUCUGAGAGUAACUGUUCAGGUAUUGACGGUAUUUAACCAGAAAGCCACGGCUAACUACGUGCCAGCAGCCGCGGUAAUACGUAGGUGGCAAGCGUUGUCCGGAUUUAUUGGGCGUAAAGCGAGCGCAGGCGGUUUUUUAAGUCUGAUGUGAAAGCCUUCGGCUCAACCGAAGAAGUGCAUCGGAAACUGGGAAACUUGAGUGCAGAAGAGGACAGUGGAACUCCAUGUGUAGCGGUGAAAUGCGUAGAUAUAUGGAAGAACACCAGUGGCGAAGGCGGCUGUCUGGUCUGUAACUGACGCUGAGGCUCGAAAGUAUGGGUAGCAAACAGGAUUAGAUACCCUGGUAGUC
rnacentral:rRNA from 2 species